GACGUAGGGCGCGAGCGUUGUCCGGAUUUAUUGGGCGUAAAGAGCUCGUAGGCGGCUUGUUGCGUCAGCUGUGAAAACCCGCAGCUCAACUGUGGGCUUGCAGCUGAUACGGGCAGGCUUGAGUUCGGUAGGGGAGACUGGAAUUCCUGGUGUAGCGGCGAAAUGCGCAGAUAUCAGGAGGAACACCGGUGGCGAAGGCGGGUCUCUGGGCCGAUACUGACGCUGAGGAGCGAAAGCGUGGGGAGCGAACAGG
rnacentral:rRNA from 1 species